GGUACAGCCACCUCUUGUCUCUGCCCAUCCUGGCCAGGCCCUGGCAUUCUAUCCAGCCAGUCCGUCAGGAAAUGAAGAUGGCUUCCUUCCCAAGCUAUAGUCCGAGGACCCAUCAGCUUCCGCCUCUCCACCAGCCAACAGCUGCAGGUGAUGGAUGUGAAGAGACACUUGUCUCCAUGAUCCUGGGUAGCUGAGAAUCCUGGAGUGCCAGCCCUGCAGGCUGCCCUGGAGUUGAAGCCCUACCAUCUGGGCACCAUCUCCUCAGACAGAGCCAUGGCAAGAGGGUUGGGAGAGGCCUGGACUGCCCUCCUGGUGAGAGGAGUUCCCUUGUCACCCUUUGCACCCAGAGGAGAAAAGCUAGGUAGCUUUGGAUGGGGGUGGCAAAUUCUGGACUCAAGCUUCCCUGUCCUUCAUAGAUUCCAAGCUAGACACAAAGCCACCCCAGGGAGAACAGUAUCAUCCAGACUGAGAAGGAUGUGCCAGGAGUCUUUUCCCAGAUGCCUGGCCAGGAUACUUGGUGAAAGGUGGCCCCACACUUCUCAUGUGAACCAACCACAAUCAAGUGAGGAGGACAGGGAGCCCAUUCUCCAGGCAUAACCU
rnacentral:lncRNA from 1 species